UCCCUCCCCCCUCCGUCUACAUAUCUGCGCGCUCAGCUUGCUCACGCUCGCCUGUUUUCUCACUCCUCGCAUCGCAGCAGCAGCAUAUACAUACACACACAGAUGCGACCAAAAAUGACCGCCCCGCUCACUAUCAAGGACAACAACAAGUGCUUGAACGUGCACGUCGGCAGCACGAUCGAGAUUCACCUGAAGGGCAACCCUACCACUGGCUACAUGUGGACGCGUGCCGGUUUUGGGGGCAAGGAGAUGCUUAGCGAUGAGCACCUGGAGGUCGUCUCCAAGUACACGCCGACACCAGUCUCGGGUCCUAUGGUGGGGGUUGGUGGCUCCUACACGGUGCUCGUGAAACCGCUGAGAAAGGGCCAUCACACGAUGGAGCUGGUCUACAUGCGCCCUUUCGAGGGACUCAAGCCAGAGAACGAGAGGUACACGUUGCACCUCGACGUCGAGUAGACAAUGACAAAGGAAGAAAGCGGAGGAACGACAUGACGUGUGUGUGUGUGUGUGUCUGUGCGCCCCCAGCUUCACGUCGCGAUGCGCCCGUGAUCUCGGCCUUCUCCUCCAGGACUGUCAUUGCCCACGUCUCCCUCACUCCCUCAUCCUGAUCUGCCUCCGCAUAUACCUCUGUUUGACGUGCAUCAUGCUGCCAGCGAAUGUUAAGGCGGAGAAGACGGCGGUGCAGUCGUGCUCUUGAUAGAGCGAGUAUAAAGGAUUGACUUACGGCCCUCAUGCCUUCACACAUGUGCACAACUGGUGCAUAUGUGGGCCUACACGCACACACACCUCUCAGGCACGUCACGUUACAUCAUGUCCGUUGAUCGCUGUUUUCGUUCGGUCCUUGUUGCCUCGUCGCCCUAACCCUGUUCUACGCCCGCCCACCGGCCCAUCAGCCCACACACCUGGCUAGCUCCUCUUCUAUUCUACCUUUCAGCUUCAGAUGCGGUGCUUCCUCCUCCCUCUUUCACACAUAUAUGCGCAUGCACUUGCGUUCUUCUCUGUCGUAGCGCUGCGCUACAGCGACGACGACAACAAAUUCAUUCUAGCGCGCUUACUGUACCUUCUCUUGUCUUUUCCGUGGCCCUGAUUUGCCGUAGAGAAACGCGAACCUAUCAACGCUGACAACGAGGUAAACGCACACGCACAGACACGGGGCGUAUGCGGCAUGCACCGGCCCCAUCCCCUCAUCACCCGCUCAUACUUCUACACGAUCUCUCGCUUUCCUUUUUUUUUCGUGCGCUCGUCCGUGCGUGUGUGUGUGCGUAAUCCCCUCUCGUUGCGGGUACUCCGGAGCGUGUGCCCGCGUUGACGCAGUGCGCCGGUGCGCUCGUCUGUGCGUUUCUUUUUUUUUCGCUUUUCAUCGCUUAUUUCACGUCUCUCGCCCUUGCUAUC
rnacentral:misc_RNA from 1 species